rnacentral:lncRNA from 10 species
CUGUACUCUAGCCUGGGUGAUAGAGCAAGACUCUGUCUCAAAAAGAAAAGAAACUUGCUCCAGGUUGCACAGAUAGCCAGGCAGUGUGAGCGUGGGAGCCCGGAUCUCAAACCUAACUGGUCGGGGCUCUCUCUACCUCUCCACCCAGGACUCAGAACUGAGACCCCAAAUUUCCAAGAAAAGGGCAAAUUCUGUUCUAAGUAUCUUAUCUGAGACAGUAGGGGUAUGUGUAGUUGCCUUUGGGAAGAUUUCCACCAGAAAUGAUGCUAACAAAGAAAAGAUUGGGAGCAUAAAAGGGUCCUACAUGCACUGUUGCCCAUAAAUACAUAUCCCAGGUAUCUAGCUGACCCCCAGGAUGCCAGCAACAAAGGUUAUCCUAUGGUAGAAAGAAAUGGCCCCUUCCUUCAAGAAGCCCACGCAACCUUGGAGGGUCAGGGCAGGUGACCUGACUCACACCCAGGCAGAGGCCAACCAGGCCAUGAGAACCCAAGGGUGGGGCCACAGGGAGGCCUUCUGCCAGGACAGGCUGUGAUUCCCUGAAAUGUGCCAGGGGAGCGUGCGGAACAUCUUGUCAGAUAUAUAAAUAUCAGGCAGGCUUAUUGGGUGUCUAUGGCCACAUACUUUUAAUUCGGCAACCCUGCCCCCGGUGGUGGGCACCCUGCCAGUCUGCAUUCCCACAUCCUGCCGCCGGCUCCUGGCCCACCCGUUUCUAUAUUGAGGAGCUCCUCUCCAUAAAUAAAGCACAGGAGUCAGGCACCAAAGAAAGGCCAUUUGGAGCGCCGGGAAGGCUGUCACAUGGGCCAAC